CCUAACACAUGCAAGUCGAACGGUAACAGGAAGAAGCUUCGCUUCUUUCGCUGACGAGUGGCGGACGGGUGAGUAAUGUCUGGGAAACUGCCUGAUGGAGGGGGAUAACUACUGGAAACGGUAGCUAAUACCGCAUAACGUCGCAAGACCAAAGAGGGGGACCUUCGGGCCUCUUGCCAUCGGAUGUGCCCAGAUGGGAUUAGCUAGUAGGUGGGGUAACGGCUCACCUAGGCGACGAUCCCUAGCUGGUCUGAGAGGAUGACCAGCCACACUGGAACUGAGACACGGUCCAGACUCCUACGGGAGGCAGCAGUGG
rnacentral:rRNA from 1 species